UGGAUGGAAGUAUAUACCUAUUAUGAAUCCAAUAACAGUCCCCAUAUUCAGCCAUCAGCUACACUAACAGUCCCCAUAUUCAGCCAUCUGCUACAAUAACAGUCCCCAUAUUCAGCCAUCAGCUACACUAACAGUCCCCAUAUUCAGCCAUCUGCUACAAUAACAGUCCCCAUAUUCAGCCAUCAGCUACAAUAACAGUCCCCAUAACUGCUACUGUAGUUUGCUUUUUGAUUCAUUUUAAAUCCAAUGGCUCUUAUCUGAGGACUAUUUAUCCAGUAAGUGCUUGCCAGCAGUGUUAGCCAAGGAGGAGUCUGAACCUAUGCUGUCUAUUGGUUUCUUCCCAGGUCCGGUUUCUCUCCCCGCCGUGCUCGCUGUGGCCCCACCGGUGGCUCCGCCUGCCCCUAUGGCACCUAUGGCCCCCCCUCCUCCACCGGGCCCCCCGCCUCCGGCCACAGUGCCACCGCCCAUGCCCCCCCCACUACCGGUUGGUGGAGGGCACGGAGGGCCUCAUUUAGAGGGGGCAGGGAACGAGCUGGCACAGCCACUCUCAGGUCUGGCUGCUGCCCUGGCUGGAGCCAAACUCCGCAAAGUUGCAAGGGAUGAGAACAGUCCACCAGGAACAAGUGUAGCCAAGAAUGAUGGCAACCGCUCCAGUGGAGGGGAGGGGCUAAUGCAGGAAAUGAACGCCCUUCUAGCACGCAGACGGAAAGCCUCAGAGAAACCUGAAGAGGUAAUUCACUUGAUCAUAUUUGAAAAAUAUCAAUUAUAA
rnacentral:lncRNA from 1 species